rnacentral:rRNA from 1 species
CGUAGGCAGCGAGCGUUGUUCGGAGUUACUGGGCGUAAAGGGUGUGUAGGCGGUUCUCUAAGUUUGGUGUGAAAUCUCCCGGCUCAACCGGGAGGGUGCGCCGAAAACUGGGGGACUAGAGUGCGGGAUGGGGAGAGUAGAAUUCCUGGUGUAGCGGUGAAAUGCGUAGAUAUCAGGAGGAAUACCGGUGGUGUAGACGGCUCUCUGGACCGCAACUGACGCUGAGACACGAAAGCGUGGGUAGCAAACAGGAUUAGAUACCCUGGUAGUCCACGCCCUAAACGAUGCAUAUUUGGUGUAGGUCAUUCAGUUGAUCUGUGCCGGAGCUAACGCGUUAAAUAUGCCGCCUGGGGAGUACAGUCGCAAGGCUG